rnacentral:rRNA from 1 species
UGGGGAAUAUUGCACAAUGGGCGCAAGCCUGAUGCAGCAACGCCGCGUGAACGAUGAAGGUCUUCGGAUCGUAAAGUUCUGUUGCAGGGGAAGAUAAUGACGGUACCCUGUGAGGAAGCCCCGGCUAACUACGUGCCAGCAGCCGCGGUAAUACGUAGGGGGCUAGCGUUAUCCGGAUUUACUGGGCGUAAAGGGUGCGUAGGUGGUCUUUCAAGUCGGUGGUUAAAGGCUACGGCUCAACCGUAGUUAGCCUCCGAAACUGGAAGACUUGAGUGCAGGAGAGGAAAGUGGAAUUCCUAGUGUAGCGGUGAAAUGCGUAGAUAUUAGGAGGAAUACCGGUGGCGAAGGCGACUUUCUGGACUUUUACUGACGCUCAGGUACGAAAGCGUGGGGAGCAAACAGG